rnacentral:rRNA from 1 species
CCUACGGGAGGCAGCAGUGAGGAAUAUUGGUCAAUGGGCGAGAGCCUGAACCAGCCAAGUCGCGUGAGGGAGUACUGCCCUAUGGGUUGUAAACCUCUUUUGUCGGGGAGCAAAAGCCGGACGUGUCCGGCUGUGAGAGUACCCGAAGAAAAAGCAUCGGCUAACUCCGUGCCAGCAGCCGCGGUAAUACGGAGGAUGCGAGCGUUAUCCGGAUUUAUUGGGUUUAAAGGGUGCGCAGGCGGAGUUUUAAGUCAGCGGUAAAAUCGUGGGGCUCAACCCCAUCCAGCCGUUGAAACUGGGGAUCUAGAGUGUGCGAGAGGUAUGCGGAAUGCGUGGUGUAGCGGUGAAAUGCAUAGAUAUCACGCAGAACCCCGAUUGCGAAGGCAGCAUACCGGUGCACAACUGACGCUCAGGCACGAAAGCGUGGGUAUCGAACAGGAUUAGAUACCCCAGUAGUC